rnacentral:rRNA from 1 species
GACGAACGCUGGCGGUGUGCUUAACACAUGCAAGUCGAACGGAAAGGCCCUGCUUUUGUGGGGUGCUCGAGUGGCGAACGGGUGAGUAACACGUGAGUAACCUGCCCUUGACUUUGGGAUAACUUCAGGAAACUGGGGCUAAUACCGGAUAGGAGCUCCUGCUGCAUGGUGGGGGUUGGAAAGUUUCGGCGGUUGGGGAUGGACUCGCGGCUUAUCAGCUUGUUGGUGGGGUAGUGGCUUACCAAGGCUUUGACGGGUAGCCGGCCUGAGAGGGUGACCGGCCACAUUGGGCUUGAGAAACGGCCCAGACUCCUCGGGGGGGCAGCAGGGGGGAAUUUUGCACAAUGGGCGGAAGCCUGAUGCAGAAACCCCGCGGGCGGGAGGACGGCCUUCGGGUUGUAACCCGCUUUCGCCUGUGACGAAGGGUGAGGGACGGUAAUGGGUAAAGAAGCCCCGGCUAACUCCGU